UAGGGAAUAUUGCAAAAUGGGCGAAAGCCCGAUGCAGCAACGCCGCGUGGGCGAUGAAGGCCUUCGGGUCGUAAAGCCCUUUUUGAGGGGAUGAGGAAGGACAGUACCCUCAGAAUAAGCCUCGGCUAACUACGUGCCAGCAGCCGCAGUAAAACGUAGGAGGCGAGCGUUAUCCGGAUUUACUGGGCGUAAAGCGCGUGCAGGCGGAUUGGAGAGUUGGAUGUGAAAGCUCCCGGCUUAACUGGGAGAGGUCGUUCAAUACUUCCAGUCUUGAGUGCAGUGGAGGGAAGUGGAAUUCCGGGUGUAGUGGUGAAAUGCGUAGAUAUCCGGAGGAACACCAGUGGCGAAAGCAGCUUCCUGGACUGUAACUGACGCUCAGACGCGAAAGCUAGGGUAGCAAACG
rnacentral:rRNA from 1 species